AUUGAACGCUGGCGGAAUGCUUUACACAUGCAAGUCGAACGGCAGCACGGACUUCGGUCUGGUGGCGAGUGGCGAACGGGUGAGUAAUGUAUCGGAACGUGCCCAGUCGUGGGGGAUAACGUAGUGAAAAUUACGCUAAUACCGCAUACGAUCUAUGGAUGAAAGCGGGGGAUCGCAAGACCUCGCGCGAUUGGAGCGGCCGAUAUCAGAUUAGGUAGUUGGUGGGGUAAAGGCCCACCAAGCCAACGAUCUGUAGCUGGUCUGAGAGGACGACCAGCCACACUGGAACUGAGACACGGUCCAGCCUCCGACGGGAGGCAGCAGUGGGGAAUUUCGGACAAUGGGCGAAAGCCUGAUCCAGCCAUUCCGCGUGCAGGAUGAAGGCCCUCGGGUUGUAAACUGCUUUUGUACAGAACGAAAAGGUUUCUACUAAUACUAGGAGCUCAUGACGGUACUGUAAGAAUAAGCACCGGCUAACUACGUGCCAGCCGCCGCCGUAA
rnacentral:rRNA from 1 species